AUGUAGUUCUCUAGCACCAGGCAAAGGCCAAAGGCCUGGGAGCGGAUAAAAGUUAGCGCGUCCAAUACAGUAUUCUCAGUCAGGGCCCCGAGGAAAGACUUCAGACAGGACCGUGGUUACGAAGACGAAGAAGGCAUGCCGAAGGGUCCCGAAGCAGAUUUAAAGUGUCGUGAGGCAACUCAAGAUUGGACUUCACUUACAGAACCCUGUCGUACCUGCCCAGGUAUCUAACGGCACCUUGCAAUUGCUUCGAACUCGGCUCCUGUUCGUGAGUUCGGGAAUCCUUUGGUAAAUUCAGUUCUCACACCAGUGCUCUGGGCAUCAUGUCUAUUACAGCAGAGCUCCUGAACUUUGGCUCACCCCCAAGCUUAAGCAAGAACCAAGAUGCAGAAAUUCCCCAUUCAAUAGCUCAUUCUAACAAUGGGCUAAAGACAGAGAAACGUUUCCCGUUUCCAUGAUGCCGUCCGCUCGCUCCCACCACCGGCCCCCGCACACGCACACCAACUUCCUGCUGCCCCUGCCUCCCCUUUCCUAUAAGAGAAACACCGUUUUCUGUUCAAUUCUGAGACACUUGCGGGACCUGUGGUCAGAGCAUUCUCUCUGCUGCGGCGGUCUUUUCGAAUAAAGCUGCUUCUUGCAUAAAUCUGGAUUGGUUUUUACUUGACAGUAAAAAUAAGCAGGGAUUCUGUGGUUUAAUGGUUAUUCCUCAUUUAACAGAUACAAUUAAACCCCUACUGUGUUUCAGGCCCCCUUGUGGGUGCAAAGGACACAUCAAAAACGAAAAGGCGUAGACCCCCGCCCUCACGGGGCUUGUGUUCCAGUCAAGGAAGAGGGAAGGGAACCAUAAACAAGUAAAAAGUUAAAUGCUACUGCAUAGAGAGCCAGUUACGGGUGAUGAGAAACGGGGAAUCCUCCCCCCGGCCCGACGAGGGCAGUAAGGGAAGGCCUUACUAAUCCAGGGCAUUUAGGCAAAGACUUCAAAGGGCGAGGGAACGACUCUGCAGCUCUUCUGGGGGCAGAAGAAACGGCCCGGACAAAAGCCCUCAAUUGGCAUUGUGUGUGCCCUUCUGAAAAAGCGACGGGGCUCCUGCCGAGGGGACCAGGUGAGCGAGGAGGAGAGUAGAAAGGGAUGAGCCGCUGGUGAGAGACAGCAGGCAGGAAAAGGAGGAAAGUAACGGGAAAUUCAUCUUUCCGUUUACGUGACCACUCGGUUCACGGCACACGAGCCGUCUCACAGAAAUAUGUACUGCUAAUGUUUUGGUGCUCACUGUUCUACCUCGAAUGUUUAUAAUGUAUAUAAUAUAUACCGUUAGAUGGGCGUAUGUACAUA